CACGUAGGGUGCGAGCGUUGUCCGGAAUUAUUGGGCGUAAAGAGCUCGUAGGCGGUGUGUCGCGUCGGCCGUGAAAACCUGCAGCUUAACUGUGGGCUUGCGGUCGAUACGGGCAUCACUAGAGUUCGGCAGGGGAGACUGGAAUUCCUGGUGUAGCGGUGAAAUGCGCAGAUAUCUGGAGGAACGCCGGUGGCGAAGGCGGCAUCCUGGACCGGCAUUGACGCUGAGGCGCGAAAGCCAGGGGAGCAAACGGG
rnacentral:rRNA from 1 species